ACCAGACUCCUACGGGAGGCAGCAGUGGGGAAUAUUGCACAAUGGGGGGAACCCUGAUGCAGCGACGCCGCGUGGGUGAAGGAGUAUUUCGGUAUGUAAAGCCCUAUCAGCAGGGAAGAACAAUGACGGUACCUGACUAAGAAGCACCGGCUAAAUACGUGCCAGCAGCCGCGGUAAUACGUAUGGUGCAAGCGUUAUCCGGAUUUACUGGGUGUAAAGGGAGCGUAGACGGCGGUGCAAGCCAGAUGUGAAAGCCCGGGGCUCAACCCCGGGACUGCAUUUGGAACUGUGCUGCUAGAGUGUCGGAGAGGCAGGCGGAAUUCCUAGUGUAGCGGUGAAAUGCGUAGAUAUUAGGAGGAACACCAGUGGCGAAGGCGGCCUGCUGGACGAUGACUGACGUUGAGGCUCGAAAGCGUGGGGAGCAAACAGGAUUAGAUACCCCCGUAU
rnacentral:rRNA from 1 species